UGCUGCUAAGUUUGAAACGUCCCUUGGGCGCGCUCUCUCUCAAAAUGAAACAGUUUCGUUUCUUAUUAUCUAUGUAGUGUUUAAUUAAAAUGAUUCUAUAAUUCUGUUACUGUUUUUUAUGAAUAUAGAUCAAAAUAAAGGAAUAGUAACAGUUUAAAAGUAAUAAAGUGUGUAUGAAAGUAAAAUAAUUGAGGUCAAUGCUUGCCUUCACAGGAAAAUGGCGUUGUGUGGUUAACCAAUUUAAAAACAUGUCGUAUCCAGAGGAUAUGCCCCCGAUAGAACUUACAAAAUUACAUUUCUCGGAGAUUAAACAAGACAUAUGUGUGCAAUUCGGCGUAAUAUCCAGCGAAAAUCAUAUAGCCUUACAAUGUUCAAAUAACCAACUCAUUAUAUUGGAUAUUUUGGAUUCAUCUGCAGUGUUAACUGACUUGCCAUACAAUUUGUACUAUGUUGAAAUACCUCAAAACCAUGUCUUUGACUCGUUGAAGAAAGCUGAUUUGAAAAAAUCGUAUAAUAAUUGCAAUUCACUAGAGCAACAACGACUGACCUUGGAUUCGGCAUAUGUAUCUCAUUUUUCUUAUGAAUCUCCAAAAACAAGUGCUUUACAAUUUAAACGGGCUCCAUGCCAUUCACCGAAAGAGCACCCGAUUGCUGUUAUUGUAACUGUAAACGGAUUGUGCCGAAUACUAAGGAAAAUGGCAGCUCCAAGUCGUCAGUGGAGUGAAAUAUGUAAUGUAAAUGAAUACCUCUCAAACGAGACACUGUCAUUGGAAUUCAAAGCUAGUAAAAGUGCAAUCGAAUGCUGUAUCACUGCAGCCGCUUGGCAUAAAACAGAACCAUUGUUGUUUGUGUCCUUCGAUAACGGCUAUGUUGCAAUUAUUAUGUUCCGUAAUGCGUAUAUUGUAAAGUUGGGACAAUUUUUCAUAACCGAAACCAAACUCGAAAAAAUAUGUGAUAUAAUUUCGUUUGAACAUUAUGUGCUAGUUAGUUGUAAAGAUGGCAUUUUGCAACUAUUUUAUUUACACAAAUCUACAAGUAAUUUGCCUUUACUAUCACCGAUGGACGCUCUAUGGAAGAAGAGAGAUAAUAUGGCUUGCAGCAAAGUUCUUGUAAACAAGUUAACCUCCAGUACAUAUCUGGUAGUUUUUAGUAAAGGUUCUCAUAUACUAGUAUACAUGUUGAAUGCAAAAGGCAAAGUUCUUUGCUCUAAAGAAUUGUCCUUCGGGGGAAUAAAAGUUACAGAUGUACAAAAUAUUUCUUCCUCCGAAUUUAUUGUAACUACCAUUACGAGUUCUGUGCAUUAUUUCAAAGUAAAUGUCGUGGAUGACUAUGCGUUAAGAAUAACUAAAAAAAGUAUUGAAGUCGACUUGGACACUUCAAAUCUUGGUAUUCUUGCACUCGUGCCUUCAUCGAAUUGCAGCCUUUUGACAUUUAUUUUAGUACGCAGCAGCGAAUAUUCACAACAAAGCAAGUACAUGCAUAGCAGCGUAUUUGUAAACAUUUCGAAAUUGGAAAGGAUUGACAUCCUAAAGCAACUAACAAAUCCCAAUUUGGGUGCCAUGAAUCCAAGUUAUGACCUUUUAAUUGCUUUGGGAAUGGACACAUUUAGCAAUAUGAACUACGACAAGUAUAGUUCUUUUUUCGAGGUAGUAAACACUAAACUACCUGACCUUUUGGACAAUGGAUUCUUGCUUGAACUCCAGAUAAAAUUUGUAUUUAUCUCAAACUUUUUGAGUUUUCAGAGGGUUAUGCAGAAAAAAAAUAAGGAGGCUACGGUAAUCGCACACGGAUUCCUUUCAAUUGCUAUACAAAUUACGCACAUAAUAUGUCGACUCAAAUACUUAUUUUCAUUGGAACCAGAAAUUCUCAGUUCAUUUCAACAAGAGUCCAUAAAUCUAUUUAUGAAGAAAUAUAUUAUAUUAAUUCGUAAAUUCAAAAGAUUUUUGACUAACAAACAUAUUUUAGAGCGUACAGGAGAAAUGUAUUUAUCUUUUUUUACGAAAUCAUACAAUGCUUUUAAAACUUAUCGGGAAUCGUGUACUCGCUGGAAUGAAAGAUGUCUCUACUGCAAAGAACCCACGAAUGCCGACACCAUGAUGUGUGACAAUAAUCAUAAAGUGAAGCGCUGUUAUGUCUCAUAUACGCAGUUUCUACUGCCAAACUAAAAGGACAGAGAGUUUGCUUUACCACACACUCCUAUCAGAAAAAUUCAUAAAAUCUCAUAUGCGAAAAAAUUAGGAACAUUUUUAAGUAUAAAGUGGUGUCCCAGUUUUGCCCCAGGGGGACCUGGCAGCCCUAAUCACAAUGGAUAAAUUUCUGGUCUAUGUGCGAUCUGGAGGAUCGACCAAGUUAAACUUAACCUUCACCGGCUUUAUAUCUAUAACACACGGUUUAAGAGCACAUGCAAAUACCAGCAAAAACGAAGCAGUUUCGUCCAAUUAAAUCAAAAUAGCAAACCUGACUGAGCACGACGCACGGUGUUAGUGUAUUCCUCUACCCAGCAAGAGCAAUGAUGGUCACUUGCCGGGCCUGUCCCGCAUGUCCACUUAGUUCGGCAGAUUUUGCAGUCACAUUCUUAAUAGUGGAUCAAAAAUACUCACAGAAGUUUAGUGUCCGUAUGAGUUUUCAUCACUUUCUAGCAUCCACUAUUUCUGGUACUAUAUUUCUUUAUCACACACCCAUUUUGGGUGUUCGGCCGAGCUCCUCCUCCUAUUUGUGGUGUGCGUCUUGAUGUUGUUGCACAAAUGGAGGGACCUACA